rnacentral:rRNA from 1 species
GGCCCCACAUCCAGGAAGGCAGCAGGCGCGAAAAUUACCCACUUCCGGCGCGGAGAGGUAGUGACUAGUCUAACAAAUAUAGACCCUAGUGGUUUGUAUUUGGACUGGUGAGAUGUUAUAAAUAUCUCAGUAAUCUAGAUCAGGGCAAGUCUGGUGCCAGCAGCCGCGGUAAUACCAGCCUGAUCAAGCGUAUGCUUUAGUUGCUGCGUUUAAAAAGCUCAUAGUUGGAUCUUCGAGAGCGUGAUCAUCAAAGGGCGUAGUUCGGUUACGGUCGUUCUAUUCCUGGUCACGGACUUUCAAUAUACUUGGAAGACAGUUUAUUCUUAACUGAAUAGACUGAUCGAAAACAAGUGAUAAACCUUGAAAAAAUUAGAGUGCUCAAAGCAAGCUUUGGCCUUGAAUUUUAAAGCAUGGAAUUGAGGAAGAGGACCAUUAUGGUCGUGAACCAUUUUGGUAAUGAUUAAAAGGAACAGACGGGGGCAUACCGUAUUGCUCGGGGAGGGGUGAAAUCCGUAGAUCCCAGCAAGACGACCUACUGCGAAAGCAUUUGCCAAGAAUGUUUUCAUUAAUCAAGAACGAAAGUUAGAGUAUUAAAGAGGAUUAGAUACCCUCGUAAUUCUAACCUUAAACGAUACCAUCUUAAUCUUAGCCAAUGUAAUUUAUUACUUGGUUAGGAUUAAACCGGGAAACCAAAGCCAUUUGGUUCC